GGGAUGCCUUGGAGAACGCAAGCCCACACGCCCAAGCGGCUCCACCUGACCCGCCGCCGCCGCUGUCUCCUCCCAGUGGCCGCGGUGUCUCGCCGCAGCGGCCGCGUACGAGCGGUGGUUGCAGUCCGUCAUCGCCGAGUUCAAUCUCUCGGGGGCCGCCUUCCUCAACCGUGACACCUCCCACGCAGCCUGCGCCGCCCCGCGGUUCACCACAGACAUGGAGGGUGAAGAGUACCGCCGCGGGGUUAGCAGGAAGGAUUCCAGUGCUAUAUUGAAUAUGCUAAGGGCAAAGGGUUCAAUGUUAGAAAGGAAGAGGUGAAAUACUUGCCACGGUUCAGGUGGCUUUAUACGAGCUUUAUACAAGAAUACCAUACAUUGCGAACUUUGAAAGACUGGACUUGAAAAAAACUCAAGGCCCAAAAU